UUUUUUAUUUUUGAKGKAUCGCGGCGCGCUUAGCGKACCAUGCCCUGGGGCGUUAUACUCCGUAGUGUGGAUUGUAUUCCAUAU
rnacentral:rRNA from 1 species